rfam:Pantoea sp. At-9b, complete genome.
AAAUUGAAGAGUUUGAUCAUGGCUCAGAUUGAACGCUGGCGGCAGGCCUAACACAUGCAAGUCGAACGGUAGCACAGAGGAGCUUGCUCCUUGGGUGACGAGUGGCGGACGGGUGAGUAAUGUCUGGGGAUCUGCCCGAUGGAGGGGGAUAACUACUGGAAACGGUAGCUAAUACCGCAUAACGUCGCAAGACCAAAGUGGGGGACCUUCGGGCCUCACACCAUCGGAUGAACCCAGAUGGGAUUAGCUAGUAGGUGGGGUAACGGCUCACCUAGGCGACGAUCCCUAGCUGGUCUGAGAGGAUGACCAGCCACACUGGAACUGAGACACGGUCCAGACUCCUACGGGAGGCAGCAGUGGGGAAUAUUGCACAAUGGGCGCAAGCCUGAUGCAGCCAUGCCGCGUGUAUGAAGAAGGCCUUCGGGUUGUAAAGUACUUUCAGCGGGGAGGAAGGUGUUGAAGUUAAUAGCUUCAGCAAUUGACGUUACCCGCAGAAGAAGCACCGGCUAACUCCGUGCCAGCAGCCGCGGUAAUACGGAGGGUGCAAGCGUUAAUCGGAAUUACUGGGCGUAAAGCGCACGCAGGCGGUCUGUCAAGUCGGAUGUGAAAUCCCCGGGCUUAACCUGGGAACUGCAUUCGAAACUGGCAGGCUAGAGUCUUGUAGAGGGGGGUAGAAUUCCAGGUGUAGCGGUGAAAUGCGUAGUAGAUCUGGAGGAAUACCGGUGGCGAAGGCGGCCCCCUGGACAAAGACUGACGCUCAGGUGCGAAAGCGUGGGGAGCAAACAGGAUUAGAUACCCUGGUAGUCCACGCUGUAAACGAUGUCGACUUGGAGGUUGUGCCCUUGAGGCGUGGCUUCCGGAGCUAACGCGUUAAGUCGACCGCCUGGGGAGUACGGCCGCAAGGUUAAAACUCAAAUGAAUUGACGGGGGCCCGCACAAGCGGUGGAGCAUGUGGUUUAAUUCGAUGCAACGCGAAGAACCUUACCUGGCCUUGACAUCCACGGAAUUUGGCAGAGAUGCCUUAGUGCCUUCGGGAACCGUGAGACAGGUGCUGCAUGGCUGUCGUCAGCUCGUGUUGUGAAAUGUUGGGUUAAGUCCCGCAACGAGCGCAACCCUUAUCCUUUGUUGCCAGCGAUUCGGUCGGGAACUCAAAGGAGACUGCCGGUGAUAAACCGGAGGAAGGUGGGGAUGACGUCAAGUCAUCAUGGCCCUUACGGCCAGGGCUACACACGUGCUACAAUGGCGCAUACAAAGAGAAGCGACCUCGCGAGAGCAAGCGGACCUCAUAAAGUGCGUCGUAGUCCGGAUUGGAGUCUGCAACUCGACUCCAUGAAGUCGGAAUCGCUAGUAAUCGUAGAUCAGAAUGCUACGGUGAAUACGUUCCCGGGCCUUGUACACACCGCCCGUCACACCAUGGGAGUGGGUUGCAAAAGAAGUAGGUAGCUUAACCUUCGGGAGGGCGCUUACCACUUUGUGAUUCAUGACUGGGGUGAAGUCGUAACAAGGUAACCGUAGGGGAACCUGCGGUUGGAUCACCUCCUUA